AUUUCCCUUCCCCUCCAAGAGCCCUUUCUGACCCCUGACUCCUUUCUUUAGCAGCCCUCAAAUGGUUUUCGUGGGUGGAACAUCUCCCUGCGUUUCAGAGGACAUCAGCGCACGUGGUUUCUUUCCUGGCCGCCGCGGCCCACUUGGUCAGUUUCCUCCUAGUUUUGGCCUGGGGCCCUCCCGCCGGGGCUCUGCCGGGUCUGCGGGUCGGGGCGGUCUUUUCACCCCGGAGGAGAGAAAGCAGAGAUUGGAAGCUCGCGCGCUCGGGCGGGGCCUGUCCACCGAGCCCGGCGAGGCUCGGAGGGCCUCGGAGGUGGACGCGCCCCGGCUAUUCCUCCGCGGCUGGGGCUGCUCCGGACGUCCCGCGUCUGGGGCCCGGGAUUCAGCCUGCAAGUACUUGUUAAGAACAGAGGAAGAAAGAAGGCCUGGAAACAAGGAAAAAGAAAAGAAGGAAUAGAAAGAGGAAGGAAGAAAGGAAAAAGGUGGGAAACUAACCAUUAUUGAGCACUAUAAGUAACAGUUUUAAUUAAAUGCUGUUUCAUUUCCUCUUGAUAACACACAUGUGAAAUAAAUGUUAUUAUCGCGUCUUUUGAGGAUGAAAU
rnacentral:lncRNA from 1 species